ACUAAGCAUGGAGAGCUUCAUCAUCCUCCCAUGUAGCAAGGGAAUCAUCAAACUGUGACCAACGAACACAAAUAUGGGACACUUGAUUGCCUCCUCGUGACACCAAAUGACGAUCAAGGAUCUAAACAGGAGUCUGGUGAGCACUCAGAAUAUCAGGAAGAGUGGAACUUAUUGAUUGAGAUGGUGCCACUCCAAUAACUUUCUUAAGUUGGGAAACAUGGAAUACUGGAUGAACCGUUGAAUUAGGAGGCAACAACAACUUGUACGCUACCUUCCCAAUCCGUUGAACAAUUGUGUAAGGACCAAAAUACUUGAAACUCAACUUAUGAUUGGAUCGUGUGACUACUGACAUCUGAACAUAGGGCUACAACUUCAAGUAAACUGAAUCACCAACUUCAAAUUCACGUUCAGAUCGUCCUUUGUCAGCCUGAUGCUUGGUACGCUGCUAAGCACGCAACAGCUGUUGCCGAACCACCCUAAGCAUAUAAGCUCUCGUUCUUUCAGCCAAUUGUGGAGGUCAACCGGCAAGGACACCAAAAUGUCGUGGAGCAUGCCCAUACAAUACCUCAAACGGAGACUUUCCCAAGGAAGAGUGGUAAUUGGUGUUAUACCAAUAUUCCGCCAGUGGCAACCAUGAUGCCCACUUUGAAGGACAAACAUCAACAAAGCUUCUAAUAAAUGUUUCAAGGCACUGGUUUAAGCGUUCAGUUUGCCCGUCCGUCUGAGGAUGGUACGAUGAACUCAUCCUCAAUUGUGUGCCUGAUAACUUGAAGAGCUCUUGCCAAAACCGGCUUGUAAAAAUUCUGCCUCGAUCCGAAACAAUGGAUUCUGGCAUCCCAUGGAGCUUAUAUAUCGAGUUGAGGAAUACUUGAGCUACCUUGCAUGCUGUGAAAGGGUGUAGCAGAGGCAAGAAAUGGGCAUAUUUGGAGAAAAUAUCAACAACCACCAAGAUAGUGUCCACAUGUGCAGAACGAGGAAGACCCUCAAUGAAAUCCAUACCAAUCACCUGCCACGCUUGAUCUAGAACAGGAAGCGCCUGUAAUAGGCCAGGAUAUAUAUCUGCUCCUGUCAGGCUUCGCUUGUUGACAAAUGGAACACUGAGCGACAUAAGACUGCUCCUGCCAGUCCACGCAAAAAGUUGUUUGACGCUUCGAUAAGUCACUGGAAACCCUGAAUGUCCCCCAAUUGGACUACCAUGUAAAGCUGCUACCACGUACUAUGUGCUGAAGGUCUGUGUUUGCACCAAUCCACACGCGACCUUUAUAUCGAAGAAUACAAACAGACAGUGUAUAAGGACCCACUUCAUGUGGAGGCAAAGACAGUUCAGUACGAAGCUUAAGAGAAUGAGGAUCAUGCUGAUAUCCUUCAGAUACCUGCAGCAUCCAUUGUGUUGUGCACGAAGAUAAACUGCACAAAAGAACAUUUGUCGAAAGCAGCCCCAUUAUCACUUCCUUUCUUAUACACAAUGCGAUACUGGAGGCCAAUCAACUUGGAUAACAUCUUUUUGUUGCCAUGGAGUAUGCAGCUUUUGCUUGGUCAAGUGAGAUAGACUGCGAGUAAAUAACAAACUCAGAAUUUUGCAGGUACUGUCUCCAUUGAUCCAUAGCAAGAAUAAGAGCUAAAUACUCCUUCUCAUACGCAGCCAAUCCUUUGUUGCGAGGACCCAAAGCUUUACUCACAAAUGCCAAGGGAUGUCGAUUCUGUGACAAGACAACACCAAUUCUUGUACCAGAUGUGAAUGCCACCUCAUGUUCACCAGUCCAUACAAACAAAAUACCCUUCUUCAAAAGACUGGUCAGUGGCUUAGCAACCAUGCCAAAAUUUAUGAUGAACUUUCUAUAAUACCCCACUAGACCAAGGAAUCCUCAAAGUUCCUUACUAUUAGUAGGAACUGGCCAACUUAAUUUGAACUGCUUCAACCUUUGCCGGAUCUAUUGACACACCCUGAGCACAAAUGACAUGUCCCAGAUAAGCUAUUUGUUGUUGUGCAAAAGCACACUUGGAAAGCUUGAUAUGCCAUUGGUCUUUCAACAACAACUGCAAAACUUGUGUUAGAUAGACUAGAUGGUCCUCCCAAGUCCUACUAUACACAAGUAUGUCAUCAAAAAAGACAAGUGCACAUUUCCUCAAUAGUGGAGCUAAAGUUGAAUUCAUGGCACUUUGAAACGUUGCUGGCGGUGCUCCCGUCAAGCCAAAUGCCAUAACAUGAAACUCAAAGUGACCGUGAUGGGUUUGGAAGGCGGUCUUAUGUUGAUCUUGAGCAUUCAUUCGGAUCUGAUGAAACCCAGCACAUAAGUCCAAUGUAGAAAACCAAGCUGCUCCAUACAACUCAUCCAAGAAUUCAUCUAUAAUUGGUACUUGAAACUUUGCAUUCAAAUAGCGAUAGUCCACACAAAACCUAUAAGUGUGAUCCUGUUGGUGUAAAUAGUUCAAUGUAAAAGGACCUCCUUGUAUAAUGGAGUAAUAUACUUUGUGGGAACUGCAGCCCGAGAGGCAGCAGCACAAUACACCAAACAACAUGGUAUUCAGAGCUAGGGUUAGCCUCCCCUAUCGUCGGUGCUGCCAUUGGAGCUCGAGCUCGAGCUCGCACGCGUGAGGAAGGAGAAGGCCGUCCACCGGCCCCGGAGCACGUCAGCGAGCGCGUCGGCAGUUGGGAGGAGGCGGCUGCUCCCGGUCGCCCACCGGCCCCGGAGCGCGUCGGCAGCUAGCAAAGAGGCGGCUGCUCCCGCACCGCGCAACUCGUCGCAGAACCCGCCACCGGACCGGCCCGCCGUCACCACGGUCUUUGCUGGCACAACGCCGGCCUGUUGCUGCUGGGCAUUGCUGCUGCCCCGUGGGUGCUGCUGCUGCCCUGCUGUCUCGAGUGGUGGCCGCGGCUCAGGCCAGAGGAGGAGGCGGACAGCUAGAAAUUGUUGUCGUGGUGCAGUAAGAGGAGGAGCUGGUGCGGUAAGAGGAGGCAGCCAGAAGGAGUUGGUGUGGUUGUAGUGCUGCUGGUUGGUGUGGCUGCAGUGCUGCUGUUAUUGGAAGUUGUAUGCUAGUGUUUGUCGGUGCUUGUUGUAUAGCUGCUUGAUUCGGUGCUUAUGUGAAGAUGAGUACAGAAGAGAUGGAUCCCAAUAGAAGGGAAGAAGAGGCUGCAACGAAGGGUCGUACAUCUACUGGGGUAGGACGGAGGUUCAAGCUCAUUGGUGAAGAAUCAGAGCUGUCUCACGUGGGGUGUGUUGAGGCUUGGCAACGACGGCGCACUGUGAUCUUUUUUCUUCUGUGCUGGUGUGUUUGGUUGUAGGCGUCGUCGUGUUUUCUUUGGCCAUGUGCGGCCCGUUUUGCGGAGUCGGAGCUGCUUGUCCCUUGGGUCGAGCUCGGCAACGAUAACUCUAGAUGAGUUGUGUGUGAGGGGCUCCCGUUGUCGGGGAUGUUUGUGUAUUUUGUAGGCGGUGAGUGUUGUGCCGUAUUGAUGUCCUAAUCCAAUCGACGAGUUUGGCGUGUUGGUAUCCCAAUCCAACCAUA